rnacentral:rRNA from 1 species
CAGCCGCUUUGGGAUUGAGAUAUGGCCCAUAUUCCUACGGGAAGCAGCAGUGAGGAAUUUUUCACAAUGGGCGAAAGCCUGAUGGAGCAAUACCACGUGAACGAUGAAGGUCUUCUGAUUGUAAAGUUCUUUUAUUUAGGAAAAAAAGCAGGAUAGGAAAUGAUUCUGCCGUGAUUGUACUAAUUGAAUAAGUGACAGCUAACUACGUGCCAGCAGCUGCGGUAAAACAUAGGUCACGAGCAUUAUCCGGAUUUAUUGGGCGUAAAGGAAGCGUAGGUGGAGGAGUUGAUCCAUUGUCAAAAGCAUCUGCUUAACAGGUGUCCGCGAUGGAUAUCGCUUCUCUAGAAUUAGUUAGGGGGUACUGGAAUUCAAUGUGUAGCGGUGGAAUGCGUAGAUAUAUUGAGGAACACCAGAGGCUAAGGCGAGUACCUGGGACAUAAUUGACACUGAGGCUUGAAAGCGUGGGGAGCAAAUGGGAUUAGAUACCCCAGUAGUCCACGCCGUAAACGAUGGGUAUUAGGUAUUUGGUUUAAAACUGAGUGCUGUAGCUAACGCGUUAAAUACCCCGCCUGGGUAGUAUAUAUGCAAAUAUGAAACUCAAGAAAUUGACGGGACCUGAACAAGUGGUGGAGCAUGUUGCUUAAUUCGAUAUACACGCAAACUACAGCUGUAUCUACUGCGAACUAUAGAAAAUAUAGUGAGUAUCGUAUGACAGUGUGCAUGGCCUGUCGUCAGCUCGUGUCUUGAGAUGUUUGGUUAAGUCCCGUAACGAGCGCAACCCUACUCUCUAGUUAAUUAGUUCUAGAGUGACUGAAUCGUAAGAUAUAGGAAGGUUGGGGCCAAGUCAAGUCAUCAUGCCCCUUAUGCCUUGGGCUGCAAACGUGCUACAAUGGUAGGCACAAUGUGUUGCAAACUAGCGAUAGUGAGCUAAUCACCUAAAACCUAUCUCAGUCCGGAUAAAAGGCUGCAAUUCGCCUAUUUGAAGUUGGAAUCACUAGUAAUCCUGUGUCAGCUAUAUCAGGGUGAAUACGUUCCCAGGUCUUGUACACACCGCCCGUCAAACUA